rnacentral:rRNA from 1 species
GUGAACCUACGGGGGGCAGCAGUGGGGAAUAGUGCACAAUGGGGGAAACCCUGAUGCAGCGACGCCGCGUGAGUGAAGAAGUAUCUCGGUACGUAAAGCUCUAUCAGCAGGGAAGAAAAAAAGUCUUUGGCUUUGGACGGUACCUGACUAAGAAGCCCCGGCUAACUACGUGCCAGCAGCCGCGGUAAUACGUAGGGGGCAAGCGUUAUCCGGAUUUACUGGGUGUAAAGGGAGCGUAGGCGGCGAUGCAAGUCAGAAGUGAAAGCCCGGGGCUCAACUCCGGGACUGCUUUUGAAACUGUGUUG